GUUUCUAUGGUGUUUAUAUUAGCACAUUAGAUUUUCAUUCUAAAGGAAUAAAAUAGAUUUAUUAGAAAUA
rnacentral:tRNA from 1 species